CUAAACAACAUACUUUCCAUUAUAUGUUUAAUAUAUUUUGAAUUGCCAUCUGUGUUUUCCUUUGCAUAGGCUAAAUAAAGGUAUUUCCACCGUAAAUUGGUGCAUUAAAGUGUAUAAAAAUGACAAAAUUA